rnacentral:rRNA from 1 species
AGGACGAACGCUGGCGGCGCGCCUAACACAUGCAAGUCGAACGGAACUCUAUUCUGGAAGUUUCGGAUGGAAGGGACAGAGUUAGUGGCGGACGGGUGAGUAACACGUGAGCAACCUGCCUAUCAGAGGGGGAUAACGAUUGGAAACGAUCGCUAAUACCGCAUAACACAGCGAGAGGACAUCCUUUUGCUGUCAAAGAUUUAUCGCUGAUAGAUGGGCUCGCGGCCGAUUAGAUAGUUGGUGAGGUAAUGGCUCACCAAGUCGACGAUCGGUAGCCGGACUGAGAGGUCGAACGGCCACAUUGGGACUGAGACACGGCCCAGACUCCUACGGGAGGCAGCAGUGGGGGAUAUUGCACAAUGGGGGGAAACCCUGAUGCAGCGACGCCGCGUGUAGGAAGACGGUCCUAUGGAUUGUAAACUACUGUCUUCGGGGACGAAAAAAGACGGUACCCGAGGAGGAAGCCACGGCUAACUACGUGCCAGCCGCAGC